rnacentral:rRNA from 1 species
GACGAACCGUGCGAACGUUAUUCGGAAUCACUGGGCUUAAAGCGCGUGUAGGCGGGACGGCACGUCGGUCGCUGAAAUCCCCCGGCUUAACCGGGGAACUGGCGUCGAUACGACCGCCCUGGAGGGCGUAGGGGGACCUGGAACUUCCGGUGGAGCGGUGAAAUGCGUUGAGAUCGGAAGGAACGCCCGUGGCGAAAGCGAGGUCCUGGACGCCUACUGACGCUGAGACGCGAAAAGCCAGGGGAGCGAACGGG